AUCAUUUCUUGACCUUCUGCCUAAGAUCAAGUGUAGUACCUGUUCUCAUCAGUUUACUAUCUGAUAUAGCCUCUAUCCCAGGACAAUAUAGUAAAUGGGUUUUUGGAGCUGAGAGAUGGAACAGGAGCUNNN
rnacentral:snRNA from 1 species